rnacentral:rRNA from 1 species
GACGAACGCUGGCGGCGUGCUUAACACAUGCAAGUCGAACGGAAAGGCCCUGCUUUUGUGGGGUGCUCGAGUGGCGAACGGGUGAGUAACACGUGAGUAACCUGCCCUUGACUUUGGGAUAACUUCAGGAAACUGGGGCUAAUACCGGAUAGGAGCUCCUGCUGCAUGGUGGGGGUUGGAAAGUUUCGGCGGUUGGGGAUGGACUCGCGGCUUAUCAGCUUGUUGGUGGGGUAGUGGCUUACCAAGGCUUUGACGGGUAGCCGGCCUGAGAGGGUGACCGGCCACAUUGGGACUGCGAUACGGCCCAGACUCCUACGGGAGGCAGCAGUGGGGAAUAUUGCAUAAUGGGCGGAAGCCUGAUGCAGCAACGCCGCGUGCGGGAUGACGGCCUUCGGGUUGUAAACCGCUUUCGCCUGUGCCGAAGCGUGAGUGACGGUAAUGGGUAAAGAAGCACCGGCUAACUACGUG